UUUUUAUACUUUUUUUUUUAAUAAUUUAUUUGAUUUGCACUUAACAUGCUAAAAAUGGACGAUGUAAUUGAUUCGAUCACUUAUCCAUUCCAAAAAGGUUAUAUAAUAUUCAACUUGGUUCGGAAGCUUUUUGAAAUUAUGUAUUAAGAUAUUCAAGCUUAAUUUGCUCCAAUUUGAUUUGACUGGUUCGAGAGUUGUUGACAGAGAAGUAAUGGCGUCGGGAAAAAUGGCGAUAAAGGAUAAGUUGGAUUCUGUUAAUAUCUCUUGGUUUCUUUAGUUAUUCUCGCUCAAUUGACUCACCUCUUCUUAUUUAUAUCUGAAGAAGAAGAGCAAAAUGAGGUCUUUUCUUAUUAACAAUUGUAAGACCCAUUUUGACCCGGCCCAAUACCCAAGGCCCAAAAUCUAAAUUGGCCCAAUUGGGCCCAAAAAUUAAACAAGCAUCAGGGAACCCUAGGCCUCCUGCCUUGCUCAGCGCCGUACGCCUCCUGCAGCCUAGCCCUUUGCCAUCGCCGUUCACCUUGUCCCAUUGCCACUUGCUUCACCUGCAAAUAAUAAAGAGAACAACAACAACAAGCAAGAGAGGUUUUGUUUUUUUUUUUUCGGUAUAUAAACCGAUUACUAACAGAUUUUAGGGGGGAGAAUCGAUUUUUAAAAAAAAAAACCAAUCUUUAGAUCUGUUGGGGGGAACGAUUUUUUAACGGAUCUUGAGAUCUGUUGGGGGUUUCUUUUUGGCUUGCGAUUUUUGUAACCAAAUAUAGAUUCAACAGAAAGAAUAAAAACAAAAAAACUUUGAAGGUUGUUUCGCCUUUUAUUCUCUGUUUUCUUUUGCUUUGAAUAGAUUUUUUUAUUUUUAUUUCGUUUUUUUCUUCUUUAAAAUCUAAAAAAAAGAAUCAAAAGGGGUUACCUUCUCGCUUGCCGGUGAUGCCCUCCGAGUGCCGAAGCCGAGAAGCCCUUUGGGGUUUCGUUUAGGUCGCGCCAAAGGAAAAACGGGCUGGGGGAGACUUGUUUUAUUCUUUCUAUUUUCCGGCACGACGAAGCCGCUGCGAGGCUACGACGAAGCCUUCGCGCGAGUUCACCGGCGACGUCGCCGGACUCUAAAGGGGGAGAAGGGGAAUCGUUUUUUGAGAAACAGAGAGAAAAGCAAAAUUUUUUUUUAUUUUUUCUGCUGCUAAAU
rnacentral:lncRNA from 1 species